rnacentral:tRNA from 1 species
GCGGGUGUAGUCUAGUGGUUAGGAUGGAACCUUGCCAAGGUUUCGACCCGGGUUCAAAUCCCGGCGCCCGCA